GACAGAGGGUGCAAACGUUGUUCGGAAUUACUGGGCGUAAAGCGAGUGUAGGCGGUCUGAAAAGUCGGGUGUGAAAGCCCUGGGCUCAACCCAGGAAGUGCACUCGAAACUGCCAGGCUAGAGUAUCGGAGAGGUUGGUGGAAUUCUCGGUGUAGAGGUGAAAUUCGUAGAUAUCAAGAGGAACACCUGCGGCGAAGGCGGGUUGCUGGGCCGACACUGACGCUGAGGCGCGAAAGCCAGGGGAGCGAACGGG
rnacentral:rRNA from 1 species